ensembl:antisense
AAGAUCCUCCAUGCUCCUCCGAGGGCCAGCUCCAUUGGGGACAACAUCCUUUGGGGGCAACAGAGUGGCUGACAAAGGGUACCGUGAGAAUCCCAUUCUGAGGACAGGGGACUAAAAGACGCAUAAAGGUGUUGAUUUUGAGGUACACACCCUGAAACUACUACUAUAGAACCUCUCACCUUCUCAGCUGUGCUUCUUGGUAAGGCCAGGGCAGAGAGACCACAGGCACUGAAGGGACACAGUAAGGGUGAGCAGAGCAAGUGCCUGUCCCCUCUUUCCUUUGUGAACAGUGCUCUGUGUCGGGAGUGUGGUGGUAGUGGUGGUGGUGGUGGGGACCUUCACUGUGAGAUACAGCAGAAGUGAGGCUUUCUGUCCUUUGAAGUCUGCAGAGGAGACUGGAAGGUGUCACUUCAAAGGAAUGCUUGUGGGAGCAAGCCAGCAGCUCACCUUGAGGCCCCAGACCCUGCCUUUGUUCUGAGGCAGUCACCUGAGAAACUACAACCAAAACUUAUCUGCAUGGAGUGGGGGUGGGAGGAGGAGGUGGGAGAGAGUGAGAGUGGUGUUGUACAGCACAGUCACACACACACACACACAAACCACUCGCAUGUGGUGCAUGCACAAUAGACUGAUGUUCUUAGGCUCUGGGAAGGGCUAUCUCCAGCAGCUGGAAGCCCCUGCCAUAGUAUUCAACAGGCCCCCACCCCACCCCCCAGCCGCCCCUGAAGGAGCAGCCGAGGCUUUGCUUUCUCUGGAGGCCACCAGGCACAAUCAGUUGCUAUAGAGUGAGGCAGGGACAAGUGCCAACACAGCAGCGCUUGGUAGGGUUGCCUGCACCUGCUGGACCAGAGGGUGAGAAACCUUUCAGAACCAAGCAGGCAAAUGGACUUCUGGCAUUCAUGGAGGGUGGCAUCAGGCCAGCAUCCCUGGAAUGUUAAAGUCAAUUUAACUGCAGAGGCUGGGAUGUUUAAACCAUUUUUGACAAACGCAGAUGUAGUAGGUGGUUAAUAGAGCUUAGAGCUGUUGCUAUUUCCUCCCUGGGACGUCACUCUGGGGAACAGUCAGAUAUCAGAGGUACAUCCAGGGGCUGAUGGAGGGUAUGGGAUAUGGCGUCAGUGGCAGAAAGACAUUUCUCACCAUCCUGGAGGCUGAAUGUUCACGGUCUGGCCUGGCUCUGUGUCUGGUUCCUGCUGAGAGCUCUUCCUUGCUUUUGACUGGGUCUGCACAUGGCAGAGAGAAAACGAAGUUAUCUGAUUCCUUCUGAUAGGGACAGUCAACUAUCUGGGUCAGACAGUUAGCAUUUCAUUUUACUUUAAUUGGCCCCCUAAGGUCCCAGGGUUGGGGUUUCAAUGCCUGAAUUUAAGUGGGAGCAUCCAGUCCACAAGGCUUUUACUCUGUGAACUUGAAUAGAACAUGCGUGUUUCCUCUAGUUUCUUAACUUGAAUACACCCGGCUCUGAGCUCAGGACAUUUUACAAAGACUUGCUAACCCCGUUGUCCCUAAACAUCCCUCUAGCUCCAGGAAUCCUGCAUGGAUUCUAGCAAGAGAGGCUCCUCAAGACCUACAGAGAGGGCUCAGCAGUUAAGAGCACUUGCUGCUCUUCCAGAAGCCCUGGCUUCCAUUCCCAGUGACCACAUGGUGGGUCACAGCAAUCUGGAAGUCUAAUCCGAGGUGAUCUAGUGCCCUCUUCUGGCCUUUUCAGGAACUAUGUGAGCAUGAUGCAAAGCACCCAGACACAUAUAACAAAUAAAAUGAAAUAAAGAAAUAAGAGAGUUCCCUUAAUAGGGGAAUGGGGGCUGCAGAUUCGGUGCCUAAGAACCAGGCCUAUGAAUGUAGACUCCCAUGUUACAUGGACACAAGACUUUGUCCUACAGUUCCCUCACGGCUGCAAGCUGCCCCUCCCACCAGCUCUGGUGUCUCUUCCAGAGAGCUCACACCAAAAUCAUGCUCUGGAGUCUAGCCACCUUCCCUGAACUAUUGCCAUGCCUUCCCUUCACAGAUCCUGUGGCAUUUUUUCCAUCUAGACCUGGGGCUCCAAAGCCUGGCUUUCUUUCAAGGUAGGGUGAAGCCUGGAGAUGUUCAAAGCAGACGCUUCUUAGCAUCCAUUCUUGUAAUUAUGAUCCUGGGGAAGAUAAUAGAUGCAUGGUGUCAGGAUGACAUGGGGAAGCUCCAGCAUCUUCAAUCAAAAUCAACAGGCAUUUGUGCUUCCUGGACAAAUACCACACAAGAAAGACAGAGAGGGCUUACAAGUACCAGUGGUUCCUGAAGAGGAGAGAAUAGGCUAAUUAGGAGCCCAUGUCUGCCCACCAUCCUGGCUUUGCUUGAGGUGACUCCAAUAGUACCCUGCCACCUUCCCAUAGGCUAGUGUUUUCUAAACUUAAUAGGAGAAUUACAUCAGCAGCUUAAGCAGGAGGACACAGUGCUCUGGUACUUUAAAAGAUGAAGGAGAAGCUGCUGUGGCCGGUGGGUCUCAGCUUGCCUGCCCUGUGCUUCUUCAAAGAGCCCCUCUCACUUGCCAGCAACACUUAGCUGCAGUAGGUAUCCACAGGGGUUCUGGGGUCUGCAGUGUGAGCAAUGGGACUGUGGGGUUCUGGUCUGAAGCCAGCAGCCCCUCUUGUUGUAUAUUAUGGUCUAGUGUCCCUCUCCCCUGAAGAGAUCCAGGCUGGAGCCUCGAGGAUGACAGCAUAGAGAAGUCGUUUGUCCUUCCUCAGGGGUCAGCAAGCAAAGCUGACUUUUCCAUUGGACUCUUUUGACUAGGAGGACCCUGGGGAUUUUGAAUAAUUUGGGGACUAUCUUCCUGUCUGAAAAACAUGUAAGGGCCCAAGCAAUGAAUUUUGGCAAUACGAAUAAGGAGCUGAUGUCAUCAAUUCCACCUUCCAAGGAUGUCCUUAUCUGACCUGCCAUGGAAGCUCCUGGGGGCCCUAACCGUCAUCCUCCAGAGUCCCUCCAAGGCCCUCCCACUCCCUGCAGACUCUGCCUUUGGCCCAGCUGUGAAUUCAGAGUUUCUCCCUUCCAGAAGAUUCCCUCCUUCAGUCCUUCCUCCUUCACUGUUCCCUUCCCUCAGCCCUUCUGUUCUUGUCCUCCUGCACUCUGUCAACCUGUUUUUAGGAGAGGGUCCCUCCUGAUGAGGGUCUUGACUCACAGCUGUCCUUGCUCCUAGGGCUGUUUCCAUGGAAACCAGAAGCAAAGAGGUCAUUCAAAGGAAAACCCAAGAACAGAAGACUGUGGAAAAAGCCCCCAUCCCUCAGCAGUUUAACAAGCGGGCUGCACCAGUGAGAGACUGUGCUCUUCCCGAGCUAGGCUGCAGCUGAAAUAAUCAAACUCCAGAGGACAGCAUCGGGGAGAUUUGCAGGGAUGGCAUGGGGUGGGGCUAGGGUUGGGGGAGGUGGGAAGAGUCCUCAGCAACCAGUGCAACCCGGAUGCAUGUUACAUUGUUAUUCAUUAGAGCCCUUUCCCAUAUCCUGUCUGCACUAAAUUCUCCAGCUUUAGCCUUGUUAUUUGUCCUUCCGGUGAGAAAGAAUCCGGAGUGUUAGAGCCCAGGAAACAGAACUCCAAAGACCAAAGUUAUGAGAGGCUGGUGGGGAGGGGGGGUGUCUUACACUCGCCCACACUCCCAAAGCUCAAGUCCCUCUGACCUUGUGCUUUUUAUUAUCUAUUCAAGUGGCAGAAUAGACUUGUCACAUGCCUUGUCCUCUUCUGGUCCCACAGAGAAUCAUUUACAAACCACUGUCUACUUUAUGGCCCGUGAGACUCUGUCCUGGGCUGUUGUAUACACUCAACGCUCAUUAGGUUCCCCCUAAAAGUCACAUAUGAGUCAUCUCAAAAUUGUCUACACUCUCUCCUCCCCAACAGGAGUGGGGUGUGCCUUUUUUUGUACCCCACUGAGCUGGUAGGUGGCCACGCACUUGUGACUUUCUGUGCUCUGGUUUUUCCGUGUUUGCACAUUCACAGAUCUGUAUGCUUUUUCUUCGG